CAAAGAUGCUGCCAUGAGUUACAGGAACAGCUCUUUCCUCUCCUGGGACUGUGGCUCCUUGGAGAGAAGGUUAGCUCUCCUUCCUUAGAUCAGACCACUGGAGCUUAGAAAGAUCAAGUGACUUACCUGAGACAACGUAGCUGUCAACAGCAAAUUUGAGACUCCAGCUGGUUGCCUGCUGCAUGCACAGACCUUGAUGCUGAAGCUGCUGCUCCGAGGGACAAGACCAGAGAGUCGCAGAGACACCAACUCUGACCUCAUAAAG